UUAUAACUUCUCCUUUCCCCACAACGAUUUGUUUUCUAAGUUCUACUACAAUGAAGUCAUAAUGGAGAAUGCAACCUUAGGCAGGGACACACAGAAAGACCAAUAGCUACCCCUUCUAUCAACUAGUAACUACAGAUGAUCACUGUGAACAUUGAAACACUCCCUGAUACAUGACAGGUGAACAUCAAGAAGGAGAAAGAUUCUGUUCUUUUCACCAAUGAAUGGAAGAGAUUAUGAACACACUAUGGAAGGUUACAAUGGGUGAUGGAGAUACCUCUGAAAACUUGAUUGAUAAAGGGCUAGAUUCGCAGCUUAUCAACUGCUACACUCAGCUGUCUUUUCUAUUGUUUGUGGUCACUAAGGUAAUGGCACGAAGAUAUUUACCUACCUGGCAAGGUAAGGCGACUUGUGGAGCUAGUGCUGGGAGCUGGGGAGCCAUGAGAACGCUUCUUUGUGCCUAUGACGAGGAAGAAAAUGCUAGAAUAAGACGAAGCCUGGAAGCCAGAAUCCAGCAAGCUGGCAAAGAUUUACAGUCUGACCUGGUAGAACUACAGAGAAUUCAUAUGGGCACACACAAAUUAAUGUGAUCUGUUACAAUUCCUUCAAGCAUCCUGAACUUCUAGUGAAGUCUAUUUUAUAGCAGAAGCCUCAUGUGAGUGCACUGAGUGCUGAUGGAGGAAAUGCUGUGGCCACAGUCACUGGUGAAGGCCAUUCAAUGACCCACACGCAGACCAGCAUCCCAGGAAGCAGAUACUUGGGACUAGAGCUGACCCGGUGCAUCCUGAGCUCUCCCUGCCACAGAGUCCCUCUGAGAAGUAAAGACAUACACGGGAUGGUGCUUGA